rnacentral:rRNA from 1 species
AGUUGCGUGAAGGUAGAGCACUGAAUAUGUGAUGGCCCCAUCUCGGGGUACUGAGCAUAAUCAAACUGCGAAUGUCACGCCAACAUGCUCGGCAGUCAGACAGCGGGUGAUAAGGUCCGUUGUCAAGAGGGAAACAGCCCAGACCAUCAGCUAAGGUCCCAAAAUGUAUGCUAAGUGGAAAAGGAUGUGGAGAUGUACAGACAACUAGGAGGUUGGCUCAGAAGCAGCCAUCCUUUAAAGAGUGCGUAACAGCUCACUAGUCGAAUGACUCUGCGCCGAUAAUUUACCGGGGCUAAGCAUACUACCGAAGCUAUGGAUCCCAAGGGAUGGUAGGGGAGCGUUCCAUGAACGGAGAAGUACGACCGAAAGGACGUGUGGAGAUCAUGGAAGAGAGAAUGCCGGUGUGAGUAGCGGAACGUGGGUGAGAAUCCCACGCACCGAAAACCCAAGGUUUCCAGAGGAAGGUUCGUCCGCUCUGGGUAAGUCGGGACCUAAGGCGAGGCCGAAAGGCGUAGUCGAUGGACAACAGGUAGAGAUUCCUGUACUCAUAUAUAUGUGAAGGAAUGACGGAGAGAGGAAGCUGCAGCCAGCGGCUGGAAGAGCUGGUGCAAGCGAGAUAUCGGGAUGGCAGGCAAAUCCACCAUCCGAAACGAGAAGGCGUGAAGCGUACGGAAAGCUAAGGCGAGUACGGAAGGCAGUGGAGGAGCUUCCAAGAAAAGUUUCUAACGAAAGUAUAUGUGACCCGUACCGAAAAUGGACACACAUGGGUGAGGAGAGAAUCCUAAGGUGAGCGAGAGAACUAUAGCUAAGGAACUCUGCAAAAUGACUCCGUAACUUAGGGAGAAGGAGUGCUCAUAGAGAUAUGAGCCGCAGUGAAACGGCCCAAGCGACUGUUUACCAAAAACACAGCUCUCUGCUAAGCCGCAAGGCGAAGUAUAGGGGGUGACGCCUGCCCGGUGCUGGAAGGUUAAGGGGAGGGGUUAACGCAAGUGAAGCCCUGAACUGAAGCCCCAGUAAACGGCGGCCGUAACUAUAACGGUCCUAAGGUAGCGAAAUUCCUUGUCAGGUAAGUUCUGACCCGCACGAAAGGCGUAACGAUUUGGGCGCUGUCUCAGCUGUAGACUCGGUGAAGUCUUAGUACCUGUGAAGAUGCAGGUUACCCGCGACUAGACGGAAAGACCCCAUGGAGCUUCACUGCAGGUUGAUAUUGGGAUUUGAUGCAGCAUGUACAGGAUAGGUAGGAGGCAAAGAGAUGGAUACGCCAGUAUUCAAGGAGCCGCUGUUGGGAUACUACCCCUGUUGUAUUGGAUUUCUAACCGGACGACGUAAAGCCGUUGACGGGACAUUGUUAGUCGGGCAGUUUGACUGGGGCGGUCGCCUCCCAAAGAGUAACGGAGGCGCCCAAAGAUACCCUCAGCUUGGAUGGAAACCAAGCGCAGAGUGCAAAGGCAAAAGGGUGUUUGACUGCGAGACCUACAAGUCGAGCAGGGACGAAAGUCGGGCUUAGUGAUCCGG